UGUAAACCGAUGAGGCAAAGUGCUGC
rnacentral:piRNA from 1 species